UACAGAGGGGGCAAGCGUUGUUCGGAUUCGUUGGGCGUAAAGCGCGUGUAGGCGGUCCGGUAAGUCCGCUGUGAAAGUCGGGGGCUCAACCCUCGGAUGCCGGUGGAUACUGUCGGGCUUGAGUACGGAAGAGGCGAGUGGAAUUCCUGGUGUAGCGGUGAAAUGCGCAGAUAUCAGGAGGAACACCUAUUGCGAAGGCAGCUCGCUGGGACGUAACUGACGCUGAGACGCGAAAGCGUGGGGAGCAAACAGG
rnacentral:rRNA from 1 species